CUAUCCUAUCCUCUCCUCUCCUCUCAGCCUCUCACUCUUUCCUCCUCUCCUCUCUCUCUCUCUCUCUCACCGACGGGAGCUGUGCGGCGUGGCGGGCUCGGCGGCGACUCGCUCGGCACCGGCGGCGGCCUUCGUUCCCCGACCUCCCAUGCGCGGCGGUGGCCUCCCUUCCCCGACGGCGGCGGGCGGCGGGCUCGGCGACGGCCUGCGGCGGCGGAUCCGGCGGCGCCGUCCUCGGGAGGGCCGGAUCCGCCGCCCUACGGAGGAGCUCGGCGCGCGGCGGGCACGGCGACGGCCGGCGGCGGCGACCCUCCCCCCUCGUCAACGCUGCAGCCACAUCCCCGAUCCACGCCGCAUCUGCCGCAUCACCGGCCUGCCCUCCUGGCUGGAGGAGGCGAGGUCGGGCCUUCUCUUCGGGGGCAGCAGGGAGGUCCGGAGGUAGUGCGUCCGCGUCGCAGUCCCCUGCCGCAUCGGUGAAUCAGCGGCGGCGUCGCGGCGAGCCGCUGGGCAGGAGGGUGCUCAAGUGGCUUCCCGUGGAGCGCCGAUGGGUCGAGCACUCAUCCGCCAUCAUCGAGCCACAACAUUUCUGAUGAAAAGAGAAGGAUGCAAGCUUGCAGUUGCUCUGUUGCAGAUAUGAAUUGCAAGCUACAGAGGGUUGUGUGCCACUGCGUUCAAAGAUCCCAUUGACUAGAAAGAUAAGUGUCAUUUUCCCACCUUCUUCUUACUACCUUUUCCUAUUCUUGAACACAAACAUUUGCUACCUCAAAAUGAUUUUUUAUUCAUGUGAUCCCUAAGAAUAUUGGCAUGCAGUCUGCAUACAUUAGAUGCUUACACCAAUACUUUAAUUAGUAGUUAUUAAGAACCGCCUGUAAAAAAAUUACAUUCAUGUAGGUGAUGACUGAUGAAUGAGAGUGAGUGCAUCAUGCACUGUGCAUGUUUAUGCUCAAUUUCUAGGCAAAGAGAUCAACUUGCAUCUGGCAAUCAAACUAGAUAUCUAUUCCAUUAUCUAAACAUCUUGCCAUGAGCUAAUCUGCUAAAACAGAGAAGUAAUCUGCUACUUCUACUGUAUCUUCUUUCACACUGUAAUUCAUUUAGUUCAGUUCAGUGCGCUUUACAGAAGCAAGCAAUUUAGCAUUCAGCAUUUCUGCUUCAAUUAGCUGGUGAAGAAUCUGAUCCUGAUCAGAGGCUACCCUUUAGACUUUAGCUUGCUGGUUUGAUUCCAAUCCUUGGUUGGAUGAGUGGUCCAAAUUUACCCAGUUGCACCAGUAGUUUUAACUUAGCCUGAAAUUAAUUAACUUAAGAGUUUCUUUCCUGUAGUGCUGCAUUCAGUACUGCAUUUCUCUGUACUUCUCUCUCUACUGUAUACUAUGUCAGUUUGUUGAGAACUAGAUUAGAUUUCUCUCUACUGUAUACUGCAUUUCAGUACUGCAUUUCUCUGUACUUACAAUGAUGUCUGUUGAGUAGGAUCUUGUAAAGGGUAAAGAUACAUUGAUGCCAUUGGUUGAUUUUCAAGAGAAGAAAUGUACAGGAUGGAGGCAGCUGAAGAUUUUGCCAUCUGGAGUGGUGAAAUAUCUCAGAAAUACAUGCUAUGAACAUUUGGCAACCUUAGAAUCAGAUAUCUUUGCUAGUUUGAUACAACAUAUCCUUGUAGGUGAUUGUUGAUGGUGCAUGCAGUUUGUUGAAACCUUUGUUUUUUUUCGGUUUGUAAGACUUCUGGUGCAUUAUCAGAAGAACCAGUUGCUAUAUGGGUUGUAACCUUUGUGCUAUAUGGGUUGUUGUUAUUGUGGUUGAUUGUUGGGCCUAUGUGGGCUUAGCCCACUUGUUAUUUGAUACUAAUAUAAAUGAAUAUAAUAUGAUGGGCUGAAAA